UCCUCCAUGGCGCAAUUGGCUAGCGCGUCUGACUGUUAACAACUGUGGUUGAGAGUAAUCAGGAGGUUGGUGGUUCGAGCCCACCUGGGGGAG
rnacentral:tRNA from 1 species